rnacentral:rRNA from 1 species
AGACUGAAACUCAAAGGAAUUGACGGGGGCCCGCACAAGCGGGUGGAGCAUGUGGUUUAAUUCGAAGCAACGCGAAGAACCUUACCAGGUCUUGACAUCCUCUGACAAUCCUAGAGAUAGGACUUCUCCUUCGGGGGCAGAGUGACAGGUGGUGCAUGGUUGUCGUCAGCUCGUGUCGUGAGAUGUUGGGUUAAGUCCCGCAACGAGCGCAACCCUUGAUCUUAGUUGCCAGCAUUCAGUUGGGCACUCUAAGGUGACUGCCGGUGACAAACCGGAGGAAGGUGGGGAUGACGUCAAAUCAUCAUGCCCCUUAUGACCUGGGCUACACACGUGCUACAAUGGACAGAACAAAGGGCAGCGAAACCGCGAGGUUAAGCCAAUCCCAUAAAACUGUUCUCAGUUCGGAUCGCAGUCUGCAACUCGCCUGCGUGAAGCUGGAAUCGCUAGUAAUCGCGGAUCAGCAUGCCGCGGUGAAUACGUUCCCGGGCCUUGUACACACCGCCCGUCACACCACGAGAGUUUGUAACACCCGAAGUCGGUGA